CUUAAAGGAAUUGACGGGGGCCCGCACAAGCGGAGGAGCAUGUGGUUUAAUUCGAUGAUACGCGAGGAACCUUACCUGGGCUCGAACGUAAGAUGACUGUAGGUGAAAGCUUACAUCUCUUCGGAGCAUUUUACGAGGUGCUGCAUGGUUGUCGUCAGCUCGUGCCGUGAGGUGUCGGGUUAAGUCCCAUAACGAGCGCAACCCCUACCUUUUAGUUGCCAUCAGGUAAUGCUGGGGACUCUAAAGGAACUGCCUACGCAAGUAGUGAGGAAGGCGGGGAUGACGUCAAAUCAGCACGGCCCUUACGUCCAGGGCUACACACGUGCUACAAUGGCCGAUACAGAGGGCAGCUACCUGGUGACAGGAUGCAAAUCUCCAAAGUCGGUCUCAGUUCGGAUCGGAGUCUGCAACUCGACUCCAUGAAGUUGGAAUCGCUAGUAAUCGUGGAUCAGCAUGCCACGGUGAAUACGUUCCCGGGCCCU
rnacentral:rRNA from 1 species